rnacentral:rRNA from 1 species
UUUAUGCGAGAGUUUGAUCCUGGCUCAGGAUGAACGCUGGCGGCGUGCUUAACACAUGCAAGUCGAGCGAAGCACUUCACUUUUAUUCUUCGGAUGCGAGGUGAUUUGACUGAGCGGCGGACGGGUGAGUAACGCGUGGGCAACCUGCCUCAUACAGGGGGAUAACAGUUAGAAAUGACUGCUAAUACCGCAUAAGACCGCGGUGCCGCAUGGCACAGCGGUAAAAACUCCGGUGGUAUGAGAUGGGCCCGCGUCUGAUUAGCUAGUUGGCGGGGUAACGGCCCACCAAGGCGACGAUCAGUAGCCGACCUGAGAGGGCGACCGGCCACAUUGGGACUGA